rnacentral:rRNA from 1 species
AAUUUUGGACAAUGGGGGCAACCCUGAUCCAGCCAUCCCGCGUGUGCGAUGAAGGGCUUCGGGUUGUAAAGCACUUUUGGCAGGGAAGAAAAGGCUCUGGCGAAUACCUGGAGCUGCUGACGGUAUCUGCAGAAUAAGCACCGGCUCACUAUGUGCCAGCAGCCGCGGUAAUACGUAGGGUGCAAGCGUUAAUCGGAAUUACUGGGCGUAAAGCGUGCGCAGGCGGUUCGGCAAGAAGGAUGUGAAAUCCCAGGGCUUAACCUUGGAACUGCAUUCUUAACUGCCGGGCUAGAGUAUGUCAGAGGGGGGUAGAAUUCCGCGUGUAGCAGUGAGAUGCGUAGAGAUGUGGAGGAAUACCGAUGGCGAAGGCAGCCCCCUGGGAUGAUACUGACGCUCAUGCACGAAAGCGUGGGGAGCAAAC